UACGGGGGGGGGCAAGCGUUGUUCGGAAUUACUGGGCGUAAAGGGCUCGUAGGCGGCCAACUAAGUCGGAUGUGAAAUCCCCAAGCUUAACUUGGGAACUGCAUCCGAUACUGGAUGGCUUGAAUCCGGGAGAGGGAUGCAGAAUUCCAGGUGUAGCGGUGAAAUGCGUAGAUAUCUGGAGGAAUACCGGUGGCGAAGGCGGCAUCCUGGACCGGCAUUGACGCUGAGGCGCGAAAGCUAGGGGAGCAAACGGG
rnacentral:rRNA from 1 species